CUACGGGUUGCUCCAGUGAGGAAUAUUGCACAAUGGGGGGAACCCUGAUGCAGCAACGCCGCGUGGAGGAUGACGCAUUUCGGUGUGUAAACUCCUUUUAUAUGUCAAGAAAAUGACGGUAGCAUAUGAAUAAGCACCGGCUAACUCCGUGCCAGCAGCCGCGGUAAUACGGAGGGUGCAAGCGUUACUCGGAAUCACUGGGCGUAAAGGACGCGUAGGCGGGUUGGAAAGUCAGGUGUGAAAUCCUAUAGCUUAACUGUAGAACUGCACUUGAAACUUCUAAUCUAGAGUAUGGGAGGGGGUGAUGGAAUUAGUGGUGUAGGGGUAAAAUCCGUAGAUAUCACUAGGAAUACCUAAAGCGAAGGCGAUCUCCUGGAACAUUACUGACGCUAAGGCGUGAAAGCGUGGGGAGCAAACAGGAUUAGAUACCCGCGUAGUC
rnacentral:rRNA from 1 species